AGCAGCCGCCUCUCAGCCACGGGCUGCACACUGACCCGACGCGACCUUCGGUCAGGGGCCGCCAGCCUGGGCCACCUAUACAACGACAGCCUGCUCCGGGGCUUCCUGAGGAGGUGCCUGCCCCGCCGAGGUUCAACAGCUUUGGAGAGCAGGACAUCUUUUCCUCUCAGCCUGGCCCUCUGCAAUGGAGGCCAUAAAUAGGCCAGUAGUGGAAGCUACAGAACACGUGAGCAUGGCAGGGGCUGAGCUCCAUUUCAAGGUCUUGCCCUGUCAUCCAGGCUGGAGUGCAAUGGAUCUUGGAUCACUGCAACCUCCACCUUCCAGGCUCAAGUGAUCCUCCUGCCUCAACCUCCCAAG
rnacentral:lncRNA from 1 species